rnacentral:lncRNA from 1 species
UGGCUCUUUCCUGUCAUUUUUGGUGAGCCCUGUCCCAAGUGAUUGGUGACCACAAUAUAAUUAUGUAGACUCCAUGGCACCACCAUGUACAACCCCACUGUCUACACAAGUCCUGCAGAACCAUCUUGUUCCUCGUGUUAUUGCUCGUUAUUCUCAUUUCCCCACGUUUUUUUGGUGAGUUAUUUGAGUUACCGCUCUGUGUUCAAAAAGACCUUUAUAUUUUCACCCAGUUUUCUCAAUAGAUAAUCAUGGAUAAAUGGAACUCUUGCCUCAGUCUUCUACCCUGAAGUAUUUUCUGAUCACCACACCAAGCAAGGCUGUUGGGAUCUUUUAGGUUUCCAAAACCUGAUGGAGGAAUUUGGUCACGUCUUCAUCUAUUGCAAGUGACAUUUGGGCUGCCCCAUCUGCAAAACACCUGAUGGCAUCAUGAGCUGCUCUGGGAAACAUCUGGUCUUGAGCUGGGAUUUUUUUUGAAGUAUAAAUUAUAUUUCUCUGAUCCCUGGGCUGGGGGACCACAGAGCUCUGAUUUCACAAAUCUUUCCCUGCAAUGAGCCAAGAGAUUGAAAAUGGAUCAAGACUUUUUUGGAUUUUUAACACACUUCUGGAGAGAAGUGGAAACAACCUGGGAUUCCUAUUUUUGGGGUUUGCACUGGUUCCACCCACGAUGGAAAAUGCUGGAAAUGAGAAGAGUGAAAAGCCCAAACUGGUGUCAGGCUGACAAGGUAAGAUUUAUUUCAGAGUGGUCACACCCGGUAUUUUCUUGCUUUCCCUUUGACUGAUAAAU